AUUGAACGCUGGCGGCAUGCCUUACACAUGCAAGUCGAACGGUAACAGGUCUUCGGAUGCUGACGAGUGGCGAACGGGUGAGUAAUAUAUCGGAACGUGCCCAGUCGUGGGGGAUAACGUAGCGAAAGUUACGCUAAUACCGCAUACGAUCCAUGGAUGAAAGCGGGGGAUCGCAAGACCUCGCGCGAUUGGAGCGGCCGAUAUCAGAUUAGGUAGUUGGUGGGGUAAAGGCUCACCAAGCCAACGAUCUGUAGCUGGUCUGAGAGGACGACCAGCCACACUGGAACUGAGACACGGUCCAGACUCCUACGGGAGGCAGCAGUGGGGAAUUUUGGACAAUGGACGCAAGUCUGAUCCAGCCAUUCCGCGUGCAGGAUGAAGGCCCUCGGGUUGUAAACUGCUUUUGUACGGAACGAAAAGGCCUCUCCUAAUACGAGGGGCUCAUGACGGUACCGUAAGAAUAAGCACCGGCUAACUACGUGCCAGCCGCCGCGGUAAGAC
rnacentral:rRNA from 1 species